CUUUCUGCGCCGGCGCGGGGGGCAAAAACCGCCCAGCCUCGCGGGACUAGGCCUGGGCAGCCUUCUGGCGGCGCACGGCGCAUCGGGGUUUACAGAAGUAUAACUUGCUUCCCAGUAGCGCAUCACAGGAGACACCCUUCCUUUAGGAAACCAAGCCUCGCCCAGGGUCGUCGUCUCUAUGGCCUCCUCCCUUCCCGGUGACUUGGUCGGAGCUGACAGAGACGGGAGGGGGGUUGCAAAGCGGGCGUGCGAAAGGGCCGCGACUGCCCCCAGCGGUGUGGGGUGGAACUACACUAAGGGCCCCAGACUGUGAGCCUGAGGAUCCGUGUGCGCAGUGUUUCUCACAUUGAUGCUUUCAACAUGGGAAGAAAAGUUACUGAAAGCCCUGCACAUGGAGCACUCGGGAGCAUUGUCACCAGGAUGACCCAAGAAUCUUCAGCUUUCAGAAGUCAAAGAAUGGACAUGUUGCCACCAGAGCCCUUUACCAAGUGAGAAGUCCUUCAAUGAAGAGAACCUGGCUUCCAGCAGCUGGAGCAGCUUAUAUUGAGUGAUUCAAGACUAGCCAGUCAGCUUUCGAGGUUAAAAUUCCCCUAACUCCUUAAAUUUCACCCAGAACCCGGGCUGCAGGAGACAGGUUUGCAAGUCUUGCUGCCUGUCUUUUUGUCAGUCGACCUCACAAUCUACUCUUUCUUUUCUCAAAAGCUAAUGCUCUGUUUCUCAUCUUCUUUGCCUUUUGAGUAGCCUAGUUUCUUACUCAGUAAUAAUUAUUGCAAAACAGGGAAGGGAAAGGAGAGGGAAAAAGAAGGAGGGGGAAGGGAGGGGGCCUGGGGCCUGAAAUUUUCCAAGCUGUCUCUCUGUGGCUCUGUUGUGUGAGAGAAACCUUAGUCUAAAGAACACUCAUUGCCACCUCCCAAAGGAAAAGGGGGUCAGAAUGCUGUCUGCUCUAAACCUAACUGAAGUUCAUGGUGGGGUGGGGGUGUGGGAUGGUCUAUCCAGGGGCAAAGGAAGCCUGGCAUGCUGGGCUAUCUUGGAUAAGUUCUCUAGACUGUGGCCUUUUCAGGGCCAGGCAGCUUCAGGAUGGUCCUCAGAGCUGGACCUGGCUGGAUGUCUAUCCGUCCAGGCAGACCAGCUACAGGUUCAGUGAAAGUGGUCUUGAGCUAUUUUCUAGUCAGGGAAAUGUGAGCUCCUGAGGUAAUUACUGAACCAUGAGCAAGAGCCUUAGACAUUUAGGGGAACAGGUGGUUCCAAGUAACUACAGGGACCUUGUUAACAGACUCUAAGCAACUAUGCUGCUGUCUAGAGAAGGAAGUUAUACUGGUCUCAAACUGUUGAAAAGCCCAAGAGCCAAAGUGGGUCACUGGAAAUAAGAGGAGAACUGAGUGGGGGCGGGGGGGGGCUUUCUCUUGGGUAAAAUAAGGAUGAAAGGCAGCACUCUGCUUCUAUCAAGAGCUAAAGGAGGAAGAGGAGGUGGUGCUAAAAUGUACGAGCAUCACACAGGUGAGCACAGGUGCUGCACUCCAGCAUGAUCAGCUCUCAGUGCAGUUACUGAGACUGUGCUCUCAUUACCACUAGGGUGUCCAAAACCGGGGAGGGGUCUUCUGCAGGGACUUGAGAUGGGCGCAGCAGACACUCAAAAGGUGAAUUCUUUCUAAGUCACGCCUUCAUACAUCCAGGCACCAGGACCCUAGUGAUGUUUAUUUUACAAAUCAAACAUCCUUGGCUGAAAACACUGCUCACAGACGGGGGUGGUGGGAAGGGGUGUAACUAUUUCCUCCCAUUAGAGCUAAAUGGAGCUAAUGCUAAUGCCAAUUCAAAAAAAGAACUCGCCCCCAAAGAGCUUGUGUUAAUCUUGAAGUCUUAAGUUCCACUUUAAUCAAAUUCAUAAACAUAAUCUAGCCUUACCAAGACACCUUAAAGGGAGACUUGUGAAAUCAGAUGCAACGAUGUUUUCCUAGGUAUUUCGUCCAUCUACCUUGUCAACUUCCUAAAGAAAACAUUCUGAAUCUGACAGCCCUAGAGCACACUCUAGUGGUGGUGAAGGAGAGCAAAUACUUCCAAACUGCUAAAUUUAUCCACUUGGAGGGAGCACUAGAUAAAUACUCCUUGUUUGGGCAAAAGGUUAGGUUGGCUUGCCUCAUAACGGCAGAGGGAAUUAAUAGAACAUUUAUGAUGUCUCCAAGCCUUAUAAUUCUCUAAGAAUAGGGCAAGUUCUGUUUUAUCCAAUGUUCAAUGCUAAGGGCAAACAAACAAGAAUUAUUAAAGAUCAUAAAACGUUCUGAAAUAACAGCCUACCCAGGGAGAUUUUAGGAAAGCUUUUGUUUUCUCUUUUCUUAAAUCCAAGCCACAUGCAGACUUUCUCCUUGGAGAUUCUGUUUAAAGGAAAAAAAGGAAGCAGAUAAUAGAUAUAAUACCUAAAACAAACUCCCUUCAGCCAUGACAGUGUUAUUACAAACUUGAGUGAGUACCAUUAUUAUAGAUAAAUAAAAACAACAGACCAGAACCAAUUUUACAUAAGGAAGUAUCAUUCAAUUUGUUGCACGGCUUGGUUUAGGCUUUUCUAUGGUCUAUCAAGUGAUGAUUAAUAAAAAUAAGAAUGUUGGUCUUUGCUCAAAGAUGGCACUCUUAGAAAAGCACCCACAUCCAGUUGUUAACAAUGUUAACGUUUUUGUGUCUCCCAACCAAAGGAAAUAGAUUCACUACGUUUGAAAGGUAAAUUAUACUCUUAAAAUCAAACAACCACAAACUGGAAGGCAAAAAAAAAAUCAACACAUUUCAAAAAAAAACUUUUAAAAGCCAGAAGCUUUGUGUUCUAUUGUGUUUAGACUUAAAAUAUGGAACUAUUUAGAAAGAAUUAAAGAGAUUAUGUUUAUUUGAU